CUCACAGUGAAAUGCUGAAUACAACAGGUGUAGUAGACCUCACAGUGAAAUGCUGAAUACAACAGGUGUAGUAGACCUCACAGUGAAAUGCUGAAUACAACAGGUGUAGUAGACCUUACAGUGAAAUGCUGAAUACAACAGGUUUAGACCUUACAGUGAAAUGCUGAAUACAACAGGUUUAGACCUUACAGUGAAAUGCUGAAUACAACAGGUUUAGACCUUACAGUGAAAUGCUGAAUACAACAGGUGUAGACCUUACAGUGAAAUGCUGAAUACAACAGGUGUAGUAGACCUUACAGUGAAAUGCUGAAUACAACAGGUGUAGUAGACCUUACAGUGAAAUGCUGAAUACAACAGGUGUAGUAGACCUCACAGUGAAAUGCUGAAUACAACAGGUGUAGACCUUACAGUGAAAUGCUGAAUACAACAGGUGUAGACCUUACAGUGAAAUGCUGAAUACAACAGGUGUAGUAGACCUCACAGUGAAAUGCUGAAUACAACAGGUGUAGACCUCACAGUGAAAUGCUGAAUACAACAGGUGUAGACCUUACAGUGAAAUGCUGAAUACAACAGGUGUAGACCUUACAGUGAAAUGCUGAAUACAACAGGUGUAGUAGACCUCACAGUGAAAUGCUGAAUACAACAGGUGUAGUAGACCUUACAGUGAAAUGCUGAAUACAACAGGUGUAGUAGACCUCACAGUGAAAUGCUGAAUACAACAGGUGUAGUAGACCUCACAGUGAAAUGCUGAAUACAACAGGUGUAGUAGACGUUACAGUGAAAUGCUGAAUACAACAGGUGUAGUAGACCUCACAGUGAAAUGCUGAAUACAACAGGUGUAGUAGACCUCACAGUGAAAUGCUGAAUACAACAGGUGUAGUAGACAUCACAGUGAAAUGCUGAAUACAACAGGUGUAGUAGACCUCACAGUGAAAUGCUGAAUACAACAGGUGUAGUAGACCUCACAGUGAAAUGCUGAAUACAACAGGUGUAGUAGACCUCACAGUGAAAUGCUGAAUACAACAGGUGUAGUAGACCUCACAGUGAAAUGCUUACUUACAAGCCCUUAACUUCUUUUUUUUUCUUAAAACAGCAUUGUUGGUUAAGUAAAAAAAUAAUUAAAGAGCAGCAGUAGCUAUUCAGGAGUCUCAUGGCUUGGGGGUAGAAGCUGUUAAGAAGUAUUUUGGACCUAGAUUUGGCGCUCCGGUACUGUUUGCCGUGCGGUAGCAGAGAGAACAUUCUAUGACUAGGAUGGCUGGAGUCUUUGACAAUUUUUAUACACCGCCUGGUAUAGGAGGUCCUGGAUGGCAGGAAGCUUUGCACCAGUGAUAUACUGGGCCGUACGCACUACCCUCUGUUUAGUCCCAGGCUCCUUCUUAGCUUAGUGAUGAGAUUUGAGGGCACUAUGGUGUUGAAUGCUGAGCUGUAGUCAAUGAAUAGCAUUCUCACAUAAGUGUUCCUAUUGUCCAGGUGUGAAAGGGCAGUGUGGAGUGCAAUAGAGACUGCAUCAUCUGUGGAUCUGUUGGGGGCAGUUUGCAAAUUGGAGUGGGUUUAGGGUUUCUGGGAUAAUGGUGUUGUGAGCCAUGACCAGCCUUUCAAAGCAUUUCAUGGCUACAGACGUGAGUGCUACGGGUCUGUAGUCAUUUAGACAGGUUACCUUAGUGUUCUUGGGCACAGGGACUAUGGUGGUCUGCAUUACAGACUCAAGUCAGAGACAGGUUGAAAAUGUCAGUGAAGACAUUUGCCAGUUGGUGUCACGACUCCUACCGAAGGUGGCUCCCCUUCCUGCUCGGGCGGCGCUCGGCGGUCGUCGUCACCGGCCUACUAGCUGCCACUGAUUUCC
rnacentral:lncRNA from 1 species